rnacentral:misc_RNA from 1 species
ACACCUCAACUCUCAUGGUCUUCCGUGAUGAGCUUGGAUUUUGGGGGUUUGCUGGCCCUGUGGCCGGCUCCUCUCAAACGAAUCAGCUUGCCGGUGUUUGGUGGCAUCACGGGUGUGAUAACUAUCUACGCUCGCCGUUGUCUGCCAGGUAACCCUCAGCAAUGAAGGUUCAUUGGGGCUCAUAAACGUCUCUCCUCGGCGAGGACAACUUUUGAAC